rnacentral:misc_RNA from 1 species
AGCAGCCGCGGUAAUUCCAGCUCCAAUAGCGUAUAUUAAAGUUGUUGCAGUUAAAAAGCUCGUAGUUGAAUUUCGGGAUCAGUACGCUGGUCAUGCCUUUGGUAUGCACUGGUGUCACUGGUUUCUCCCUUCUGAAGAUCCGUGAUGUCAUUAAUUUGGUGUCGCGGGGAAUCAGGACUGUUACUUUGAAAAAAUUAGAGUGUUUAAAGCAGGCUCACGCUUGAAUACAUUAGCAUGGAAUAAUGAAAUAGGACGUUUGACCCUAUUUUGUUGGUUUCUAGGAUCGACGUAAUGAUUAAUAGGGAUAGUUGGGGGCAUUAGUAUUCAAUUGUCAGAGGUGAAAUUCUUGGAUUUAUUGAAGACUAACUACUGCGAAAGCAUUUGCCAAGGAUGUUUUCAUUAAUCAAGAACGAAAGUUAGGGGAUCGAAGACGAUCAGAUACCGUCGUAGUCUUAACCAUAAACUAUGCCGACUAGGGAUCGGAUGAUGUUAAUUUUUUAAUGACUCAUUCGGCGCCUUA